GCGGGCGUGGUCGAGUGGUAAGAUGUUUGCUUCCCAAGCAAAAGACUGCCGGUUCGAUUCCGGUCGCCCGCUCCA
rnacentral:tRNA from 1 species